GUUAAGUUAGUUUAGGAUAAACAUUAAAUUGUGGAUUUAAAGUCAAGAAUAUGUCUUACUUAACA
rnacentral:tRNA from 1 species